rnacentral:rRNA from 1 species
CCCUUCGGGGGAAAGAAUUUCGGUGAGGGAUCGGCCCGCGUUAGAUUAGUUAGUUGGUGGGGUAAUGGCCUACCAAGACUACGAUCUAUAGCUGGUUUGAGAGGAUGAUCAGCAACACUGGGACUGAGACACGGCCCAGACUCCUACGGGAGGCAGCAGUGGGGAAUCUUAGACAAUGGGGGCAACCCUGAUCUAGCGAUGCCGCGUGAGUGAUGAAGGCCUUAGGGUCGUAAAGCUCUUUCGCCUGUGAUGAUAAUGACAGUAGCAGGUAAAGAAACCCCGGCUAACUCCGUGCCAGCAGCCGCGGUAAUACGGAGGGGGUUAGCGUUGUUCGGAAUUACUGGGCGUAAAGCGCACGUAGGCGGAUUAGUCAGUCAGAGGUGAAAUCCCAGGGCUCAACCCUGGAACUGCCUUUGAUACUGCUAGUCUUGAGUUCGAGAGAGGUAAGUGGAAUUCCGAGUGUAGAGGUGAAAUUCGUAGAUAUUCGGAGGAACACCAGUGGCGAAGGCGGCUUACUGGCUCGAUACUGACGCUGAGGUGCGAAAGUGUGGGGAGCAAACAGGAUUAGAUACCCUGGUAGUCCACACCGUAAACGAUGAAAUGCCAGUCGUCCGGGUAGCAUGCUUAUUCGGGGGACACACCUAAACGGGAUUAAGGCAUUCCCGCCCUGAGGGAAGU